UAGGAGUAGGGUUAGGAGUAGGGUUAGGGUUAGGAGUAGGGUUAGGGGUAGAGUUAGGGAAGGGGUACCUUUACCCCUAACCCAACUCUAACCCUAACCCUACUCCUAACCCUAACCCAACCCUAACCCUACUCCUAACCCUAACCCAACCCUACUCCUAACCCUA